rnacentral:rRNA from 1 species
AUGAAACACUCCUACGGGAGGCAGCAGUGAGGAAUAUUGGUCAAUGGACGUAAGUCUGAACCAGCCAAGUAGCGUGCAGGAUGACGGCCCUAUGGGUUGUAAACUGCUUUUGUAUGGGGAUAAAGUCAGUCACGUGUGAUUGUUUGCAGGUACCAUACGAAUAAGGACCGGCUAAUUCCGUGCCAGCAGCCGCGGUAAUACGGAAGGUCCGGGCGUUAUCCGGAUUUAUUGGGUUUAAAGGGAGCGUAGGCCGGAGAUUAAGUGUGUUGUGAAAUGUAGACGCUCAACGUCUGACUUGCAGCGCAUACUGGUUUCCUUGAGUACGCACAACGUUGGCGGAAUUCGUCGUGUAGCGGUGAAAUGCUUAGAUAUGACGAAGAACUCCGAUUGCGAAGGCAGCUGACGGGAGCGCAACUGACGCUUAAGCUCGAAGGUGCGGGUAUCAAACAGGAUUAGAAACCCUUGUAGUCCGAAGUUC